AAUCAACGCUGGCGGCGUGCCUAACACAUGCAAGUCGAACGCGAAAGCCCCGCAAGGGGUAAGUAGAGUGGCAAACGGGUGAGUAACACGUGGGUGACCUGCCUUAGAGUGGGGGAUAAC
rnacentral:rRNA from 1 species